rnacentral:lncRNA from 1 species
AUGGAUAAAACCAAGGUCUUGUGUAGAACAAAUUUGUAGGAAUUUGCAGGUUGAAUAGUUGAUAAAGUUUGGGUUUGUCUUGUCUUUAUAAUGGGUGAUUUCUACGGAUUUAGAGUCUACUAGAAUAUACUCAUAAAAGGAUUGGUUUUUGGUUAUGUUGUCUGUUGGCUAAGGACUGUCUUCGUAGAAGACUCGAUUGAUGAAGGAUUUAAGUUGAGUAAGGUUUAUUGGUUUGGUGAAUGGGGUGGUUAUUAGGUGUUGCUUUUGAGGUUUGGUAUAGUAGACCGGUUUAGUGUUUGGGGUAGUGUUUGAGGUAGUGUUUGGGGUUUCUGUUGAUGAUUGUGUUUUCGCCUUUGAUGACGUCUCAGCGACUGCUUUUGAAUAGGAUAGAGGAGGAUAUUCAGCUAAUACUGAGAAAGGGUUUGGAGUUAAAGUUCUUCCUUGGAGAUGUAGCUGGUUUUUGAUAUAAUCCGAUGCUGUCAUCGGCUUUUUCAUUUUCUGGUCACUCAUCUUGAAUAUCUUCUUGUUGUUGAUUUUCUGUUGAUUUUCCCAUCCAGCAAAUAUUUGUUUUGAUACUAGAUUUUUGACAUUUUUUUGCAAUAUUUCUUUUGCUGAUUUGCAAUCUACUCGCAAUAGAAAUUUUUUAUUGACUAAGUCGUCUUGGAA